rnacentral:rRNA from 1 species
CACGUAGGGGGCGAGCGUUGUCCGGAUUUAUUGGGCGUAAAGAGCUCGUAGGCGGUUCGGCAAGUCGGGUGUGAAAUUUCGAGGCUCAACCUCGAAACGCCACUCGAUACUGCUGUGACUGGAGUCCGGUAGAGGAGUGCGGAAUUCCUGGCGUAGCGGUGAAAUGCGCAGAUAUCAGGAAGAACACCAAUGGCGAAGGCAGCUCACUAAAUUGUAACUGACGCUGAGGCACGAAAGCGUGGGGAUCAAACAGG